GGGUAGAAUCAACGAAAGUCGGGGAGGUUGGGGUGGAUGUGAGUGGAGGAACCCAAGUCAUAGAAGGAGGGAGACGGAAAGGGUGCUGAAAGAUUAGAAAAGAAGCAAAAGGACGAUAGUGACGUUCUCUUCCGUGAGUGGGCACUGGGAGAAAGUGAGUAGGUCCGUCCGGCCUAGGCAGUCAAAGGUUGAGGGUAACUCUUUGGGACUGAGGACGUAUUUUGUGUGAACUAGGAGCCCACCACAGUUGAAAUCAUUUAGAUUGCUGGCUCAUUCCCUCUUCUUACUGGCCUUAGCCACCGCAGGUUCCCCAGCCCUGCCCAUCCUAGCUUUAACUCAGCCAUAAUUGCUUUGCUUAAGUCCCAGGAACUUGGCCAUUGCUCCCCAGCCCCUGACAUUAUGACAGGAUUCCCUUGUCACCCCUGCCAGCUCCUAGCUUCAGUCUUCACUGACUGGCUGGGGAGUGAUGGCAGGUAGCAUCAGAGCUCCUUCCUCCAGCCUCCAGGCAGCCCUGGGGAUGAAAAUGAAAGCAAAACCAACUCCAGGCUUGUCCUUGUAGCCAAAUAAUGUGCUGCCUAAGGGGUUGGUGCACUCAGGGGCUUCCAGAAAAAUGCCAGCCUUACCUUUCUGGGUGCCUUCUAAUGACCUCUAAGCACUUUAUGGACUGUGUUUGUCAAGAGUCAGGUGAAUCACAGGAUUCCUUCUGCCACAGAAGAAAAGGAAGUCACUGACUAGCUGGAUAACUUUGGGCAAGUUACUUCACCUCUCUGGGCCAGAUUUUCCUCCUUGAGAAACUGCAUUUGGAUUAGGUGAUCUCUUAGGCCCCUUCUUGCUCUGACAUUUUAUGAUCUGUGAGGGGCAGAGUGUGGAUUAGAAGCCACAUUCUCCAGCCUACAGUUGAAGGGCUUACAGUUCAGAACACACAGCACCCCAAGCGUGUGGUUGGGCCUGAGAACGGUUCUCCAGUUUUUGACACGUGUUCCAGAGCCCAGGAAGCAUCCAGUCUGCAGCAACCAGCCUGCAGCCUCAGGGUAUUCCAGGGCCUCUUUCAAACCACAGCUCAUCCUCUGCCCCUUGCUUUUGCUCUUGCCCCAACAGACUUCCAGCCUGGGUGCUAUGAGACAGCUUUGGGGAGGUGCCUCUCUAGGGGAAAAUGAUGCUUGGGAGCCCCCAAAAUGAAAGGAAACAAUGUUGGGGACUUUCUUGAGUAUAAAGGAUUAUAGGUAUAAGAAACGGAAAACAUUUCAAAUCAAGAAUCAGGGCACCUUGAAAAUUAAAUGGUACCAGAAGAUGGCAGUCUGCUCCAUACCUUGAGCAAGUGAAAUGGGGAAGCUGGGCUCUUCUACCCAUUCACAUUUAUGCCUUAUGUCUCUCCUGGUUAACCUCAGCUGGUUGUUUGUUUUUCCUCUCCUCUCACCCUAUGUCUAAGCUCUUUGCUUUUCUCUUUCCUUGUCCCCUUCUCAUCACUUUCAUUUUUCUUUUAGCAUAUACGGUAUUUACCUUCACUUUCUCUAUUUCCAUCUGCCUCCCUCUUCAUCCUUGUUGAUCUCUGCUAUUCCUUCUCCCUCCAGAAGGAGUGGAGAGCCUACUUCCUUUUCUCCAAGACCAUGGUUGAUCCACCUUCCUCCCUCAGGCUCCUUCUUGACAGUCUUCUAGAAGGGAGAAGAGGGAAAAGAAGCAGUUCCUGAUGCCGCAGAUGAACAAGGAGCUCCCAGCCUCCCCAACUGGCUUGGAGAAGGCAAAGCACCAAGGGUCCCAAGCUUCAUCUGCUAUUUCCAGGAGCUGGCUGCUGCCUCCAGUGCCAGUGUCCCGGCUCUGCAGGAUCAGCAAGGAACCACUGCGCCUGCGCCUGCUGGAGAACUUGGGAACCCAUCUGAACUCCAGCCUUGCCAUACAUUGGGAUUCUCUCCUGGCCCUAGCCAGUCCUCCACACUUGUUGGUAUGCUGUGCCCCUUCCUACUACCCCAACUAGCCUUGAGCAGGCCAGUUCCCUAAAGUUUCCACUAGAAGGGUCCCUGACUAGGACAAUUGCUGGAUGGUCUGUGCUUGGGCCCUCUCCGGGAACCUGAGUAUUACUAAGCAGAUAAAUGCAAAUGGUUGGGGGCAGGGAACCAAGAAGAGUUCAUUGUUCCUGAGCUUUUUCUCUAAGAAGUACCAUGGCUCACCUAUGCCCCUAUUCUCAGCUUUACAGAGCCAAGACAUGAGUCUUCUGGUUCUUCCCAUACAGAGCUGCCCCAGGGCCUGGGGGUAAGCUGCUAGUCUAAUCUGACAUGGGAAACACUAGGAAUUUGGCAGAAACUUCAGAGAUUUGUCAUGUGUUAGGCGUUGUGGUGGGGACUUUCCUCUAAAGCCUGAUGACUGUACGAAUGGGGGCAAUUUAGGGUAUAACCUGCUAGCCAUGGACUGGGAAGGGCCAUAAGAGAAACCAUUAUUACCAUGGUCAGGGGCUCGGGUCCUUGAAGCAACACAGCAGGAACACUCUUGCCCUUUCCUCUCAUCCAGACCUCAGAUAUCUUCCUAAGUAUUCUGACUGUUCCUUUGUUUUCUUUUAUGAAUAUAGCUUUUAUGAAUAUAUCAUUUCUCUUCACAAUAAGCCCUAACUCAACUUGCCAAUCUAAUCCCACAUUCCCUUGCUUCUAACUCCUGUGUUUCUCUGGAGCCCCUCUGGAUCCUUGCAAUCCUCAGGUCAUAGAAUCCAGAGACCUGAAAAGGCUUGUCUUUAGAGAUCACUGGGUCCAGACUCCUCUAGAGAUGAGGACACAGGUCCAGAGAUGAGAAGGGACCCCAGCAGGGUCAGAGAAUUUGUUAGUGCAACUCCAGAUGGGACUUAAACCCAGGCCUCCUGACCACCUCCCAUUCCCAGGCUAUGAAACAGGCCUCUCUCCACAGGGUCAGACCCACGAUUUUUCAUGACAAGGGACACGUCAGAAAUUUUCAUUUUCUGCUUCUAGUUUCCAUUCCCUUCCCCGUCCAGGCAGAAAGAGAAACAAAAGGGACUGGUAUGUCCCCAGCCUUGGCACUUCUUUCAGUGAUAUCGCUGAAGAACAGUGAAGUUGCUAAAACAAACAACAACAACAAAACAACAACAACUGAAUAAUCUACCCAUUGAAUAGCUAACCUGGAGAGGAAAUGAAAGUUUGCUAUGUGAAUCCCCCUCAAACCACCGACCUCAUCAGACCCUUCCCGAGCCUCCCCUCUUCACAGUGCAGCUCUGUACACUGGGCCCCAGACCCACUCGUAUUGUGCCUCAGUUCAGCCUCCUCAUGCAACUGCUCUCCCUUCUGGAUAAAAGACCUCGUAUUUGAAAUAAAGUUGAAAUAUGAAAAGAAA